AGAGUUUGAUCCUGGCUCAGAAUGAACGCUGGCGGCGUGCUUGAUACAUGCAAGUCGAACGAGAAAGUCUUAGCUUGCUAGGACGAGUAAAGUGGCGCACGGGUGAGUAACGCGUGGGUAAUCUGCCCUUGAAUUUGGAAUAACUUAUCGAAAGAUUAGCUAAUACCGGAUAACAUUGUCAUUACUUAGGUAAUGACAAUCAAAGAUAGCCUCUAUUUAUAAGCUAUUGUUUUAGGAGGAGCCCGCGUACCAUUAGCUUGUUGGUAGGGUAAAGGCCUACCAAGGCUACGAUGGUUAGCUGGUCUGAGAGGAUGAUCAGCCACACUGGAACUGACACACGGUCCAGACUCCUACGGGAGGCAGCAGUAAGGAAUUUUGCGCAAUGGGGGAAACCCUGACGCAGCAACGCCGCGUGAGUGAUGAAGGCCCUCGGGUCGUAAAGCUCUGUCAAGUGGGAAGAAAUUUUUAUAAGUUAAUAGCUUAUAUUUUUGACGGUACCGCUGAAGGAAGCACCGGCUAACUCCGUGCCAGCAGCCGCGGUAAUACGGAGGGUGUAAGCGUUAUUCGGAAUUAUUGGGCGUAAAGGGCGCGUAGGCGGCUAUAUAAGUCAGAUGUGAAAGCCCUGGGCUUAACCCAGGAAGUGCAUUUGAAACUAUAUAGCUUGAGUAUGAGAGAGGGAAGUGGAAUUCCUGGUGUAGAGGUGAAAUUCGUAGAUAUCAGGAAGAACACCGGUGGCGAAGGCGGCUUCCUGGAUCAAUACUGACGCUGAGGCGCGAAGGCGUGGGGAGCAAACAGGAUUAGAUACCCUGGUAGUCCACGCAGUAAACGGUGAUCACUAGGUGUAGCAGAAUAUAAUUUGCUGUGCCGUAGCUAACGUAUUAAGUGAUCCGCCUGGGGAAUACGAACGCAAGUUUAAAACUCAAAGGAAUUGACGGGGGCCCGCACAAGCGGUGGAGCAUGUGGUUCAAUUCGACACAACGCGAAGAACCUUACCUAGAUUUGACAUCUCAGGAAUUUUUAUGAAAAUAGAAAGUGCCUCUUUGAGGAGCCUGAUGACAGGUGCUGCAUGGCUGUCGUCAGCUCGUGUCGUGAGAUGUUCGGUUAAGUCCGGCAACGAGCGCAACCCUUAUCUUUAGUUACCAUUAUUAAGUUAGGGACUCUAAAGAUACUGCCCCGGUAAACGGGGAGGAAGGUGGGGAUGACGUCAAGUCCUCAUGGCCUUUAUAUCUAGGGCUACACACGUGCUACAAUGGGCAAGACAAAGGGUAGCAAUCUCGCAAGAGUGAGCUAAUCUCAAAAACUUGCUCUCAGUUCGGAUUGGAGUCUGCAACUCGACUCCAUGAAGUUGGAAUCGCUAGUAAUCGCGGAUCAGCAUGCCGCGGUGAAUACGUUCCCGGGCCUUGUACACACCGCCCGUCACACCAUGAGAGUUGGUUGUACCAGAAGUUGUUGGGCUAACCUUUUUUAAGGGGGCAGACACCUAAGGUAUGGCUGAUGAUUGGGGUGAAGUCGUAACAAGGUA
rnacentral:rRNA from 1 species